rnacentral:lncRNA from 1 species
CAGAAGCCAGCUGUGGGUAAAGAGAAGAAUGUGGAUCUUCACUUUGAUUUGGAAAAGAGUGAUAGGGAUAGUGGUAGCGGUAGUGGUAGCGUAGCUGGCAACAAGCUGCAGCAGCAUGUCCAAAACCAAAAGCAGCAGCAGCAGCAACCUCCAGUCCCUGAGAAAACUGGUAAAGUAAAUGGGUCUUCUUUUUAAAAAAUAAUAAUAAUGAUCUUUGCGAACAUUUUGUUCUCUUGAAAUUUGUCUUGGUUGGUUUGUUAAUAUACUCAUUUUGUAUUUCAGCUCAAUCAAAUUCUUUGCCUCUUCCACUCUCGAUGGCUAGUUGGCCUGGUGCCCUUCCUCCGAUGGGGUACGGAUUAUUGAGAUUCUAUUAAAUGCUCUUGAUGAUUGGGAAUCUGUAUUCAUCUUCUGCUUGCAAUUUAUUGGGGAGAUGACUCUUAGUUUUAUGUGCAGAUACAUGGCACCUUUACAAGGAGUUGUAUCCAUGGAUGGAACUGCUGUCUCUUCUGCUGCUGUACGACAUGUGGUUUCUUUCUUUCUUUUUUUUUGGGGGGGGGGGGGGGGGGGGGGGGGGGUUGUUUAACUACUAAAAACGGGGUGUUUAACUACAAAUGUUUUUAGAUCCAUUUCUCCUCAUAGAAGUUAAAACUUCUUGUGUGCAGCCUCCACAUGUGUUGUUUUCUCAACCUAGACCAAAAAGGUGUGCAACGCAUUGCUACAUUGCUCGGAAUAUACACUACCACCAGCAAUUUACAAAAAUGAAUCCUUUCUGGCCAGCGGCAGCUGGUUCUGCUUCACUUUAUGGCGCCAAGGCAGCGUGCAAUCUCAAUGUUGUG